GUACUGAUGAAGAGUCCCAAAACAGGAUGAAACAGCUGCCCAGUAC
rfam:Trichobilharzia regenti genome assembly, scaffold: TRE_scaffold0048512